GGUGAUCCUGGCGGCCAUAGCUUACCUCAUCUUCAUCAGAAGAAGUAACUCUGCCAGCAGACUUCAAGUCCUUAUAGACACAUCUGGUCGACCGGCAAGUGUAAACCAACCAUCUUU